AUACGGAGGGUGCAAGCGUUACUCGGAAUCACUGGGCGUAAAGCGCGCGCAGGCGGUCUUUUAAGUUGGAUGGGAAAGCCUACGGCUCAACCGUAGAACUGCAUCCAAAACUAUUAGACUAGAGUGUGGGAGAGGAAGAUGGAAUUAGUUGUGUAGGGGUAAAAUCCGUAGAGAUAACUAGGAAUACCAAAAGCGAAGGCAAUCUUCUGGAACACUACUGACGCUGAGGCGCGAAAGCGUGGGGAGCAAACAGGAUUAGAAACCCCAGUAGUCC
rnacentral:rRNA from 1 species